AGUGAACGCUGGCGGUAGGCCUAACACAUGCAAGUCGAACGGCAGCACAGUAAGAGCUUGCUCUUACGGGUGGCGAGUGGCGGACGGGUGAGGAAUACAUCGGAAUCUACUUUUUCGUUGGGGAUAACGUAGGGAAACUUACGCUAAUACCGCAUACGACCUACGGGUGAAAGCAGGGGAUCUUCGGACCUUGCGCGAUUGAAUGAGCCGAUGUCGGAUUAGCUAGUUGGCGGGGUAAAGGCCCACCAAGGCCACGAUCCGUAGCUGGUCUGAGAGGAUGAUCAGCCACACGGGAACUGAGACACGGUCCAGACUCCUACGGGAGGCAGCAGUGGGGAAUAUUGGGCGAUGGGCGCAAGCCUGAUCCAGCCAUACCGCGUGGGUGAAGAAGGACUUCGGGUUGUAAAGCCCUUUUGUUGGGAAAGAAAAGCAGCAGGUUAAUACCCCGCUGUUCUGACGGUACCCAAAGAAUAAGCACCGGCUAACUUCGUG
rnacentral:rRNA from 1 species